rnacentral:tRNA from 1 species
CGUGAGUGAGUGAAACGGAUAUUUAUAAAUCAUGUCGGUCUCAUAAUCCGUACGAUAGUAGGUUCGACUCCUACACUCGCAA